UCUCUGGACCAGGAGACCAGCACCUUGGACAGAGCAGUGCUGGGGAAGGGCAGAAGGAGCUGGGGAGCUCCAGCCAAGGAAAACCCCAGGCUGUGGGCCUUGCUACAAAGGGCCAAGUGGAUGCACAGGGCCAAAGGGGAAGCAGCCCAGGGACAAAGUCUGACUAGGGGAGAGAAGGAGGGCUGGGAGGCUGUUGCUAGAGGGUCUCUGGGUUGGGAUCCAGAGUAGUGGGUGGGCCUGGGUCCCCACCUUCCCUCUUGUACUACACCUGGCUGAGGAGAAGCAUGGCCUGACACAGGCUGUGGCUGGCCCCUGUGACAAAGGGGCUAGACUUUUAGGCUGCAACCGGCCACUAGAACAGGUCCAGACAGAGGACUGCUGAUAACACCAGACCCCUGGAAGGGGGUGAGACUAGAGCAGUGAGCACUGCCGGAGGGCAGCGUCCUAAAGAGGACGCUGCUGAACGGGGAGCAACGGAGGUCCAGACACCAACAGGGGAGCAGACACCACUGGCAGACGGUGCCCUGCCAAGGGCAGAGCUAAUUCCCAGAUGUGCCAGCGGGAGGCGCUGUGGUGAACACCAAAUAUGUGCCAAGUGCUUCACAGACAGAGAUGAAGACUGGUUGCCUGCCCUGAACAGUUUACAGUCUUAAUGGACAACAUACAGGUCACUUCACUCGAUUAGAAGCAAUACUAUAGCAAAUCAUAUAACUCACUAAUUGGCAUUAGUGAAGGAAGACCCCAUUUCCAUGAUGGUACAGUAGCCAAUUGAACAAGAAACUAUUAUAUUGUCUGUUACUGGCAGAUUGCCUUAUCACU